UACGGAGGGUGCAAGCAUUAAUCGGAUUUAUUGGGCGUAAAGGGCGCGUAGGCGGAAAUGAAAGUCAGAUGUGAAAUCCCUGGGCUCAACCCAGGAACUGCAUUUGAAACUCCCUUUCUUGAGUGUCGGAGAGGAAAGCGGAAUUCCUGGUGUAGAGGUGAAAUUCGUAGAUAUCAGGAGGAACACCGGUGGCGAAGGCGGCUUUCUGGACGACAACUGACGCUGAGACGCGAAAGCGUGGGGAGCAAACAGG
rnacentral:rRNA from 1 species